rnacentral:rRNA from 1 species
AUUGAACGCUAGCGGGAUGCCUUACACAUGCAAGUCGAACGGAGUGGCGAACGGGUGAGUAAUGUAUCGGAACGUGCCCAGUAGCGGGGGAUAACUACGCGAAAGCGUAGCUAAUAACGCAUACUAUUGGAGCGGCCGAUAUCGGAUUAGCUAGGUGGUGGGGUAACGGCUGACCAAGGCGACGCUACGUAGCUGGUUUGAGAGGACGACCAGCCAAACUGGAACUGAGACAAGGCCCAGAGUCCUACGGGAGGCAGCAGUGGGGAAUUGUGGACAAUGGGGGAAACCCGGAUCCAGCCAGCCCGCGUGUGCGAUGAAGGCCUUCGGGUUUUAAAGCACUUUUGGCAGGAAAGCGGUACCUGCAGAAUAAGCACCGGCUAACUACGGGCCAGCAGCCGCGGUAAUAC